UACGAGAGGCCCAAACGUUAUUCGGAAUUACUGGGCUUAAAGAGUCCGUAGGCGGCGCAGAAAGUAGGGUGUGAAAGCCCUCGGCUUAACCGAGGAAUUGCGCUCUAAACUACUGUGCUUGAGGAACCUGGAGGUGAGCGGAACUGAUGGUGGAGCGGUGAAAUGCGUUGAUAUCAUCAGGAACACCGGAGGCGAAGGCGGCUCACUGGGGGUUAUCUGACGCUGAGGGACGAAAGCGUGGGGAGCAAACAGG
rnacentral:rRNA from 1 species